rnacentral:rRNA from 1 species
CGGUAAGAGCGGCGGACGGGUGAGUAACGCGUGGGUAACCUACCCUGUACACACGGAUAACAUACCGAAAGGUAUGCUAAUACGGUAUAAUAUAUUUGAGAGGCAUCUCUUGAAUAUCAAAGGUGAGCCAGUACAGGAUGGACCCGCGUCUGAUUAGCUAGUUGGUAAGGUAACGGCUUACCAAGGCGACGAUCAGUAGCCGACCUGAGAGGGUGAUCGGCCACAUUGGAACUGAGACACGGUCCAAACUCCUACGGGAGGCAGCAGUGGGGAAUAUUGCACAAUGGGCGAAAGCCUGAUGCAGCAACGCCGCGUGAGUGAUGAAGGCCUUCGGGUCGUAAAACUCUGUCCUCAAGGAAGAUAAUGACGGUACUUGAGGAGGAAGCCCCGGCUAACUACGUGCCAGCAGCCGCGGUAAUACGUAGGGGGCUAGCGUUAUCCGGAUUUACUGGGCGUAAAGGGUGCGUAGGCGGUCUUUCAAGUCAGGAGUGAAAGGCUACGGCUCAACCGUAGUAAGCUCUUGAAACUGGGAGACUUGAGUGCAGGAGAGGAGAGUGGAAUUCCUAGUGUAGCGGUGAAAUGCGUA